GUUCAACGGCCGCGGUAUCCUGACCGUGCGAAGGUAGCGUAAUCACUUGUUCUUUAAAUGGGGACUAGUAUGAAUGGCAUCACGAGGGUUAUACUGUCUCCUUUUUCCAAUCAGUGAAACUAAUUUCCCCGUGAAGAAGCGGGGAUAAAACCAUAAGACGAGAAGACCCUAUGGAGCUUUAAAUCUCCCUUUAAGCGCCGACCUAUUUACUAAGUCACAGACCCCCUUAUAUUUACCCCCGCGCCAUGAAGAUGACUUUUAGGUUGGGGUGACCGCGGAGUACAAAAAAACCUCCACGUUGAACCAGGCUCCCAAGCCCUGAGCAAAGGACUACAACCCGAUGCACUAAAAAACUAACAUCCAUUGACCCAAUACUCUUGAUCAACGAACCAAGUUACCCUAGGGAUAACAGCGCAAUCUACUUUAAGAGUCCAUAUCGACAAGUAGGUUUACGACCUCGAUGUUGGAUCAGGGUAUCCCAGUGGUGCAGCCGCUACUAAUGGUUCGUUUGUUCAACGAUUAAAACCC
rnacentral:rRNA from 1 species